rnacentral:rRNA from 1 species
UCGCGGCGGUGUGCGCAGAAGGGUCUGGGCUCGAGCCUGCCUGGAGCCGCCGCCGGUGCAGAUCUUGGUGGUAGUAGCAAAUACUCCAGCGAGGCCCUGGAGGACUGAUGUGGAGAAGGGUUUCGUGUGAACAGCCGUUGCACACGAGUCAGUCGAUCUUAAGCCCUAGGAGAAAUCCGACGCCAACGGAGACGGGAAUAAUGAAAUGGAAAUGGCCCGUUGAUCGGGCGAAAGGGAAUCCGGUUCCUAUUCCGGAACCCGGCAGCGGAACCGUUGUUUCUCGGGCCCUCACAAGGGGUUCGUCAGGGUAACCUAAAAGGGCCCGGAGACGCCGUCGGAAGCCCCGGAAAGAGUUUUCUUUUCUGCAUGA